rfam:Glossina austeni unplaced genomic scaffold Scaffold225, whole genome shotgun sequence.
GGAAGUGUGUGUUGUCUGUUUGUGAUGGCACGUAGCUGGACAUUGAUCGCUAGACCGUAAUUAGUGUUUGCAGAUCUGCUCAGUGGCAUCCGUCACACCAUUAAUCUACUCCCAGUAAUAAAACAUACUGGCGGACGUGUAAGAGUGAAAUUCAGUUGAUGGUCUUCUGAUGCACGGCAGCGGGUCGGACGCACAGUUAUGUGUGAACAAAGGUGGCGGCGUCGGCGACUCUCCCCAGGGUUGCCUGGUCAAAGCCUUUGGCUUCACGCUGAGACCAGCGACUGAUUUCCAAGUUCGCCGUUUUCAAAAUUUCUUGGUUAAGUAACUUGUAGCUUAGCUUCGGAUUUUCGUAAAUUUGCUGUUCAGAACACUUCCAUACCAGUGGCAUUGCCGAGCAAUUUGCCCAUUUCUUUUG